GCGUGGGUGAAGAAGGCCCUAGGGUUGUAAAGCCCUUUCGGCGGGGACGAUGAUGACGGUACCCGCAGAAGAAGCCCCGGCUAACUUCGUGCCAGCAGCCGCGGUAAUACGAAGGGGGCUAGCGUUGCUCGGAAUUACUGGGCGUAAAGGGCGCGUAGGCGGCCAUAUCAGUCAGGUGUGAAACCCCUGGGCUCAACCUAGGAACUGCACUUGAGACGGUAUGGCUUGAGGUCGAGAGAGGAUGGUGGAACUCCCAGUGUAGAGGUGAAAUUCGU
rnacentral:rRNA from 1 species